rfam:Serratia marcescens FGI94, complete genome.
UAACUGUGACACUAUUUGAGUAUCCUGAAAACGGGCUUUUCAGAAUGGUGUUGCUGUAAAACUAAGUAGGAGUGCAUAGUGGCCCGUAUAGCAGGCAUUAACAUUCCUGAU